UACAGAGGGUGCGAGCGUUAAUCGGAAUUACUGGGCGUAAAGCGCGCGUAGGCGGCUUUGUAAGUCGGUUGUGAAAUCCCCGGGCUUAACCUGGGAACUGCAUCCGAGACUGCAUGGCUAGAGUAUGGGAGAGGGAAGUGGAAUUUCAGGUGUAGCGGUGAAAUGCGCAGAUAUCAGGAGGAACACCGGUGGCGAAGGCGGAUCUCUGGGCCGAUACUGACGCUGAGGAGCGAAAGCGUGGGGAGCGAACAGG
rnacentral:rRNA from 1 species